GAGGGUGUGGCUCAGUGGUAGAGCAUGCAUAAGACCCUGGGUUCAAUCCCCUGCACCACCA
rnacentral:tRNA from 1 species